rnacentral:tRNA from 1 species
GUUAAUGUAGCUUAAAAAGAAAGCAAAGCACUGAAAAUGCUUAGAUGGGUAUUCACACCCCAUAAACA